CCUACGGGAGGCAGCAGUGAGGAAUAUUGGUCAAUGGGCGAGAGCCUGAACCAGCCAAGUCGCGUGAAGGAUGAAUGCUCUAUGGGUUGUAAACUUCUUUUAUAUAGGAAUAAAGUGAGGAACGUGUUCCUUUUUGUAUGUACCAUAUGAAUAAGCAUUGGCUAACUCCGUGCCAGCAGCCGCGGUAAUACGGAGGAUGCGAGCGUUAUCCGGAUUUAUUGGGUUUAAAGGGAGCGUAGGUGGUUAGUUAAGUCAGCGGUGAAAGUUUGUGGCUCAACCAUAAAAUUGCAGUUGAUACUGGUUGACUUGAGUACAUUUGAGGUAGGCGGAAUGCGUGGUGUAGCGGUGAAAUGCAUAGAUAUCACGAAGAACUCCGAUUGCGAAGGCAGCUUACUAAACUAUAACUGACAUUGAAGCACGAAAGCGUGGGGAUCAAACAGGAUUAGAUACCCGGGUAGUC
rnacentral:rRNA from 1 species